CGGAGGGGUUUCAGUGAACGUAAACUUUUCGCAGUAUGAGUGCGAAUUUCCAGUCGGUUAUCCGUGUCUCGGCAGAUGUCACCGGCAACAGAUCGCGACGUACGUGCAGGGUCCGCGUUGACGCGUUCGGGUACGGGACAUUUCUCCGCAGAUGUGACACAGUGGAAACGGAACUUUCGAAUUGGACUUUCAAAUGAGAUUCCCACAACCUAUAGCUGUAUAAUGUAUAGAAGGUGUCGAUUUGUCAUACACACAGUGCUUCAAUGCCU